UGCAUGGGGGAGAGCUGGUGGUCCCUUUCGACUGUAGACACGCCUACCCCAGCCAACAAUUUCUUUCAUUGGUUGGCUACUGUCUAUGCAUCCACCAAUCUGGUGAUGCAAACCCAGAUAGGAGAAUCUGUCACGCUUUCCUGCAGGAUUGGCACACUGUUCCAGGGAGUAUGAAUGACUUCAGUUACCUCCACACUAACUGUUUUGAAGUAACUGUAAAAUUGUCCUCUGAUAAGUUCCCACAUGCCAAUGAGCUUCCUAUCGAGUGGGAGAAUAACAAAUAGUCUCAACUGCUGUACAUGGAGCAGGUGCACAGAGGGAUGAAGGGUGUGAUCAGGGAUAAGGACACAAAAGCUGGAAUUGCAAAUGCUGUCAUUAAGUUGGAAGGCCUGGACCAUGACAUAAGAUCUGAGGCUGGAGCUUGUUUUGGGGAGGAACACACCUUUGGGACAGUAUGUGGAUGCAUCUACACGUUCUUUGUGUUUAUUCUGCCUAUUGGCUGGAGUUUGUUUUAUAGAUUCUCUUCUAGGUAUAUUGUAAAACAAAUGAUCUAAAAUUCACCUUAAAACUGCAUCUGAAUACGACACAAUUUUACUUGCUUUUGACGCCCCCAGCUGGACAUUUCACUGCAGCCAAACGUGUUAUACAGCACAUACAUUUAUAAAUAUAUAGAUAGAACACCUGCUAUAACUUUCUCUUCUUUUUCACCUCUCAUUAUUUUGCAUCUGUUUUAAAUUCAUUGAUAUUUCCAGGUUUUCUUUGACCAUGUGAACCUUUUUUUUUUUGUGACAUUUUUCAUUCUCCUAUAUCU